rnacentral:lncRNA from 1 species
UUUUUUUUUUUUUUUUUUAUAUUAACCCCUCCCUAGGAGCUCCCACCCUUUUUUCUCCCUUGGUGACUCGAACUCGCAACCUUCGAGUUGGAAGUGAGGGGUGCUUACCAUCCGAGCAACUCCCUCUUGUCUAGACCCUUAUCCCUAAGUAAGCUGAUCGUGUAAAUAGCUUUUACACAAUUAAUGUUUUUUUUUUGUUUUUUUUUGCAUAUAGAUAGUAGAAACCAUCACGUCAAAUUUGAACUUGUUCAUUCAAAUAAAUUCAAAUUCUAGCAAGUUAUAAGCCAUGUACGAAAUAUUAUUGUUAGUACAUUAAUUAUGCAUUCCAAAAUAGAAAAGAGUAUCGUAUAAAUUGAAAUGAGCAGGAAUAAGAAAAUUAAAUCCAAAUUGAUAGUGUGAAUUAAAUAGAUGGUCAAGAAAUUGAAUUAAAUAGAGUUGAGUUGUUAGUUAUUGACCUAGAAGAGUUAUUAGGAGGCAUGUGACGUCUGUUCAUCGACAUGGAAUAUUUUAAUAAUGGAAAAUUAAAUUAAAUCAAUUGGUUGAAAACAAAUAAUAAGUGUACAAAGACAUGACAACAGAAGUUAAUAAAGUGCCAUCAUAUGGCAGUAACUUUUGAAAAUAUCCAUCAAUUACAACUUCCUACUCAAUGUUUGUUCCUGUAAAGACAAAUGGAAAGGAUAAAUUCGAUACAAACAAAGCCUACACAAGAGAAAAUAAAACAAUUUGAUUACGAAGGAAACUAGAUAAACUGCUACAGUAACCAAAAUCACAUGUACCUAAUCAAUGAUCCCCCACUCAAGCUUUUACCCGUUUAAGUUAAGUUAUACGGUUUAAUUUGUAUGCGGAUAAUUAUUUAGCUUGUACAUAUAAUCAUAUAUAUGCAUUUUGCAAAUAUAUGCGUAUAUAAUGAACUUCAGAGUCAUAAACUUCAAAUCGUGUAUUUAUCUAUGUUCAUUUGCACACAACAUAUUCUUAUACUAUCUACAACAACUAUGCUUCAAUAUAUCCAAAAUAAGUUGCGGACGUACACCUAUUCUUUAGGUUAAUAAAAAUAGGGUAGAUCUACAACGGAAGUUACAGGCUCAGUACGCUUUAAUCCAAACUUUGUAUUUGCAUUAAGAAAUUCACUUAAUAUGUAUCUCUAAAUAAUUUAUCCAGAACCCAAUAAACAACAAAAAUAUAUACCAUUUUGUUAAAGAAUGACAAAAGUCCCACAUCAGUGGUUAAUGAGAUGAGUGAACUCCUUAUAAGGCUUGGGUAAUCCUCCUCCCUUUGAGCUAGCUUUUGGGGUGUGAGUUAGGUCUAAGACCUAAUUUAACACAUUCAAAACUCAUAAACUUAAAAAUUUCUAGACCCGCCCUGACAAAACACUGAUGCAUGUGAUCUAGCAUUAAAAUUUUGGUGUUGUAGCUAUUGGGUACAUCUACCGUCAUUAAGUUAGAAGAAGAAGAAAGAUUAUGACAUAGUGCUAAAAUUGCAGAUUGAAGGGACCGACUUCUAUCUUUAUGGAUGUAGAUCAAUAAAUUACUUUCCUUACUUCAAAAUGCCAAUUCAUCUACAAUUGUGACCUGUGAUAAAUAAAAGGGUCCCAUUUUUAAUUCAAUUUCUAUCUACCAUUUGAGAUGAAAAUCCCACACAUUUAAUUCCUCCCAACAUCCUUUCUUUAAUCUUUAUGAUAAGAAUACUUUCAUUAAAUUUUAUUUUUUGUCAAAUGCAUUAAAAAUAAAUUAAGCCUGGAUAGUUUACCCUACUAUUACUAGCGGGAGAAAAAGAACAAAACAAAAGUUACCCUACUUGUUGAUAUGUCACCUACACGACAAGCAAUAAGUUAUUUGCAAGAUAUGUUAAAACGAUAUGAACUGAAUCAUUCUAAAAGUUAAAUGCUUAGAUAUACAAUAGAAUUUUUCAACACUUCGAAAAUUCUGAAAGACUCCAGGUUUUUAAUUAGGUAUAAACACCGAUAUGAGAAUAAUUACCGUUUUAUUCUUUCUUGUUGAUGUGUGACAUGAAGCGUGUUAACUCGUAUUUACCAGCUGGUUCAGCAAGGCAAAAUACGAGUAUUAAGUAUGUAAUUUUGUCAAGAAUCACUAAUUUUUCUUUUUAAAUUGUUCUAAAAGCAGAAGUUGCUUCUAAUUAUGCAAGGGAGAUAAUGUUUGAAACUUAUACUAAUAUAAUAAAAAUCAGCACGUCGUCUCCAUAAAACCUGGUUGAGCAACCAUAUUUUUAAAAGAAAGUCAAAACAAUCAUAGAUAGCACACAGAAUAUUGAUAGAGAAAUGUCACAUGGCCAUUGACCACCAUCCUCCAUGUUGGUUAGAAAUACAUUAAUUCCUUCCUAGUCUUUCCUGCAUAUGUACAUUGUACACUACUUGUUUCAAAGAUCCAAAGGAGGGAUCCAUCAACUGGUCUCUAGACCGGUGAACUGAACAGAUUAGAUUCUGAAAUUGCAUCUCUGGUUAGACAAUUUACCACAAGCUUAUUUGAACAAACUUUUACAAUGCAUAUCAUAAAGUAAUCGUUAGCAUUAGCACCAUUGCUUGGGUUGAAUGGAUCUUAAACUAGUCCCUUUUCAACAAGGUAAAUAUAAUUGAUUUACAAUAGAAGGAAACAAGAAUGGGUUAUGGGUUUGUUUUGCAUGAUGAUACAUUUACCCUCUGAACUUCUGAAAGAUUAUAUAAUCCACGGGCAGGCGUAUACCUUCAUCCCUUCAUUUAGAAUUAUCCCCAUAGGGACAAUUUAUAAAAUACAAACACACUAGGCUCAACCUAUGAUUAAAACAAUUGACCAUGCACAUGCUAUAGAAGGUAAGGUUGGGGGUAGGGGCUACCGGCUACAAAGGUGGCGUUAAAGAUAAGGAGUGCUUGAGAAUGGAAAAAUCACAAUCAACAUGAAAUGUCACUGGUAUAACUUAUUUUCCCUACUUCCUUUAAGAAAGUCAUUUUUUUCAUUUUUAAGGGACUUAUUUUCUUGGAGAACAUAUUUUCCAAAAAAAUUGACCAACCUAACAUGGAAUUUUUUUGAAAAACACUGACCAUUCUUAACAGGCAAAUACUUUGGUGGACAGGUACACAAUAUAAUCUACAAAAGCGCAGAUCCUCAAUCUUUCAAAGAUUUGGUGAACUUUCGGCCAUUUAGGCACUAGAACAUAAAAGAACAUCUUACCAAGCAGCUGAACUUCAAGCAAGAAAACAAGUCUCUAAAAAGACUGAAAUCCUUACAGUACAUGAGUACAUAUAUGAAACACUCUCCUUUUUUUUCAUUUAAAAGUUUAAACAUGAUCUGAACAUGACCAGCAAAGCAUUUUACAGAGAUAAGUUGUUUGCUACAAUGAGCACAUUUUUCUCUAUGGACACCGCAAGAUCAGAGCAGAAAAUAUGACCUGCCAAGUACAGAUGAGUGAUUUUGACCCAGGUUACGUCCUCUGAGGCAUUCCAGAUCCAUUACUUGUGAGUGGUCCACGAUAAGAUUAACCUGAAAAGACCAUCAAAAUGAAAUAAUUGAAUCGUCUUUCAUUGUGCAAUGUAGCUUUUUAGAUAUAUUUGCUCAGAGAAGCUUAGUACCUUUGGACCAUAACGUUUGACAAACCACUCAGAGAUUUUAGGAUUUGAUGCCUCAAACAUAGUUUUCUCAAGUCCAAGACGACCCACAAUCUUCGCAACAAUAUCUGAUCUUAGUAAACCAGCCUGCCUACAUAAAUCAUCAGCAUUGAUCAUUAUCAUGUCUGCCCCAGCUUCUAAGCAUCUCUCUGCCCUUCUGACCAAAAGAUCCACAUCUUCAACCAUCUCUGCAGAGAGACAAAACAGCAUGGAACAUGCAACAGAAACUGUUAUGCAUUUCAAUCGUCAACUUCUAUGGCACGACAAACAUUACAAAAGUUGUUUCAUGCAGGAGCGCAUGUUAUGUACUCAUCAGUUUAAAACUGGACUAAUCUUUUACUGCUAAUUUUCACAAGUUCUAUUUUGAAGUUUCUGUUGAAUAAUCCGUCAUGAAAUUUAGUGAUCAUAAGACAGAAAGUGAUAUAUCCUUGGCAACAUAGGUCCUAGGUUAGGCAGCAGAUCACAAACUCAUCGCAGUUAAACAACAGAAGCAUCUAAAUAGAAGGGCACAAAGCAUCAUCUCAUAUCCCAAGCUUCAUAAUAAAAUAUUCUUAAAGGCAUGAGUCUUAUAAGACACUAGUUUCCAUUUUGCAGAAUACAAAUAUUCUUAGCAAAAUAGAAAGAGGUACAUGAAGAACUUCAACAGUCAGAGAAAGAUUAUCAAGCUGUCAAGAGCAACUACAAGAUUACUAGACUGCAAGGACAUAUUUCCUCCAUUAGGAAAAUGAGGUAUCACAAGUACAAUGAGAAUGGCAAUUAAGCUGUGAACUUCCCUCAAGUCCUUUGAAUCGCGAUGUCUUAUCCAAUGAGAAGCACAGAAGGUAAAGCUCAGCAAUGAUUUUUUUUUGGGGUAAUUAGCAAUGAAAAUAUUUUUAUUUACAUGGAAAAAAGCCUCAAACUCCCUCCUCCCACCUCCUAUCCCUCUUUCAGUUUGCCUGUGCUGUGGCGCAAGUGGGGUUGAAUUUCCUACACAGCAAAACCAUAUACUUUCCGGCUUAUCAUUUGUGAACUUUACCCAUCCUUGUAACAAUUAGUUUAGUCUUGUCUAUAAAGCAGAUGAGAUGGUACAUGACGCUCUUCCAUGUAAGACAAUGGUUAAAACCUGCUAUCCAGAUUGACUAUCUCGAGGUCCUACCAUGUUGUCUGGGAUCUACAAUGGAUUGGUCAAUAAGAUAAUUCUUUGCAGCAAAAGGAAGCUAUAGAUCUCUGUAAAACGAGAAAAGAGGGAUACUAGUAGCCACUAGAGUUGAAAUGACAGUCAGGAGAGUGGCCCAAUUGGAUCGAAAAUACUAGCAUAUAUCAGCUGUCUGUGAAGGGUCAAUUUGAUUUGCCACGGCAAUAUCCUAAUUUUCAAGUUGUAGCAAUUUUGACACCUAAACACUGUGCAACAUAGGUUGCACCAAUUUUUAAAUACCUACUAUCCAAAGUUUCAUGAGAUUCGAAACAGUUAUUGAUGAAGAUAUCCUAGUUACAGAAAUGCAGCCAUAUAACUAAAUACUUGCAACUUUAGCUGGGGUCAUUAGUGUUAAGGUGCUCAUACGCAACUUCCUCUACAAUGUAUGUGGACUCAAUUGUGUUUCUACAGAGAGAGGUAUGAAUGAACUGAAUUUUUUUUCCUCUAGUACUCUACAAAUAUCAUUUCAGGAAAUAUCUGUCUGGAAAUUUAGACAAAUGAUCUUAAGAAAUUACUGUUCUGUUGAUGAACACAUCUCCUGAUGCAUCCACUGUUUUAUUUUUUCAUCUAUUAUCUAUCUAUCACAUUAGUCUCUCUUUUUUUCAACUUUAUCAAGCAGACACUUUCUAGUCUAAAAAAAGGAAUCUACAGAUAUAGCUUACAGUGGUGACAUUACCGCUCUCUAAGAAAAUGUAAAAGAGAAAAGAGCAAAAAUAAAUUUAAACCAGAAGUACUAGCAUACCAGAGGUUUGAGGUGCCGGAAUCACGUAAGCCCCAAAAGCUCUGUCACCGGCGAAGGCUAUAUCAGACUUGUUAAACUUAACAGAGAACUGAGGCUUAGCUCUGAGCCCACUGCUCUUAAUCAGCCUCACAUAUCUCAAGAGGGUCUCCUCAGGUAGACCAAGUGAUGCAACAUCAAGCUCAAUUGAAUCAAACCCCAAUUGCUUACAUUCCUAAGAGAUUACAACAAGUAACAGGUUAUUACUAAGAUUAAAAAAUCAAUCAGAAAGGAAACACUUAAGCCAUAUUAACUACUUUAUACCUCAAUAUAUUCUUUAAGAGAAGAAGGACCUCGGCGAAGCAUUUGAUCUGCCCAAUCACCAGAGUUAACAUAAACAUUGUGUUUAUGUGCCAUGUCAGUCACUUCUUUGAUGUAAUUCUUUGGCAUCACAGUAUGGGAUCCAUCACAUAGUUUUAGCCCAUCAACAAACUGACCCAUAGACUCAAAAACAUCCUAUGAACCAAGAAAAUGAGAAAUUCAACAAAUUUGAACCAUAAGAACAUAAACUAGCACAGAAUUCUGUACACAAAGUCAUUUUAGCAAUCUGCUAUCAAGUUACUCUCGGAAACGGCUAUACAGCUCACUUAGAUAUUUUAUACUCCCCUUUAAGCUUUCGUUUUAGACAGAAUUUUGUAAUUUUCUAUCUCAAGGAAGUUUUGAGAACACGAAUCCUGAAUACUAAAAUCGCGCAACCUCUCUCUUUCUCUCAAUUUACUUAUAUCAAUUUCGAUUGUGUUUACUACCCGUGUGCCCUCCCCCAAUUGAUUAUGCAAAUUAUCCUCUACAGCUAGUAGCACUCAGAAUUUUGAAUUCCAAGGCAUAUCAUAUGCAGUCAUGAAUUUAUCCCUUAAAUGACCAUCAAAAUAAACUAGGAAUACAUUAACAACAUUCAAUAGAUCAAGCUUAAAGCAAUUACCUCAAGAAGGCCUCUCGAGAAAAGGGAAUAGUUGGGACCCUUCAUUUCUGUAACGCCAUAGCGACGAGGUUUCUCUGGACGAUCUCCAUCAUCGUUGAAACUCUUCCACCUGUACGCUGCCAUUUUUUGCCUCCUCCUUCACAGAGAGAGAGAGAGAGAGAGAGAGAGAGAAGGGAGAGGGAUACAAAUGCUCAGAAGAAUGAUUUAUCAAUUUUGUUUGGGAAGACUUGAAAUUUUUUUGUGUUCAUUUGAAUUUCGAUUAUUAUGAUUUGAAGAAGCUUUCAGCGGUUUCUAGAACCAACACUAGCCUUUUCAGUUUAUGGACAGAUACAGAAAAAGAGUUUUCUAGUUUGUUCCUUUUUGACACGUAGGAUUUCUAGAUUUUUGUGACAGAGACUCUUGAUAUUUAAUAACACUAAUGUAAAUGACAGUUUAUCUUCUUACUUAAAGAUAAAUUUAAAAAAUGAAAUUUAUGACUUUCAAAUAAAUUAUAGUAAUUAUUCUAUCAACAUACAUAAUACUCCCUCGAUUUAAAAAAGAAUGGUCUAAUUUCAUUUUUUGUCAGUUAAAAAAGAAUGACCCCUUUACUUUUUUGGCAACACUUUAACUUCAACUUUCUCUGUGACAUGUUUAAGGCCACAAGAUUAAAAAACAUUUUAGUAUAUUCGACAUAACUUUAAUUUAGAACCAUAAAAUUAAAAAAUCUUCUUUCUUUUCUUAAACUCCGUUCCAAGUCAAACUAGGUCAUUCUUUUUGAAACGGAAGGAACACUAUUUUUUAAAAAUAAUAUUACUCCCUCCAUUUCAAAAAGAGUGACCUAGUUUGACUUGACACGGAAUUUAAGAAAAUAAAGAAGGCUUUUGAAUCUUGUGGUCCUAAAUUAAAGUUAUGUCAAAUGUACAAAAUUGUCAUUUAAUCUUGUGGCCUUAAACAUGUCACGUGGAAAGCUGAAAUUAAAAUGUUACCUAAAAAGGAAAAGGAUCAUUCUUUUUGAAACAAAUUAAAAAAGAAAGAAAGUCAUUUUUUUUCAAACAGAGUGAGUAUAUAAAUUGAAACGUAGACUAACAAUUCUGAGAUGGGCUGUUAUUUGAAUGUGGAGGAGCAGAAGUAAUCAGCCCAAAGCUAUUAACUGAACUGGAUACCUUCGUGUGGAGUCCAGUAUAAUUGUUUAUUUUCUGUUUGGGCUGGGCUUUAAUGAUUUUCACAAAAAGCUGCAAGGUGUUUCUUCACUUUCAAAUAGUAGAAAGAGGAACUUUCGUACAUAGCCACUAAAAAAUAGCCUAUACACUCCAUAGCUAUAAUUUGUUAAUUACGAUUCGUAGCUACAUGUUAUUGGGAGGAUAGUGGCGAGCGAGACUGGGAAAGGGCAGAGAGUGAGAGAGAGGUGAAUGAUAUAUGUAUAUCGGUUAGAUAAUUGUAUAUUACACAUAUAUAUUUGUAUAUUCUAGCGAGAGAGAUUGGGAGAGGGAGGAGAGAGGCGAGCAAGAUUGGAAGAGGGAGGCGAGAGGCAAGAGAGAGAGGAUAAUAAUUUGUAUAAUUCACAUCUCGUUUGUAUAAUUCACAGGUACGUUUGUAUAAUUCAUAUGUUUUUGUAUAAUUAAGUAAUAUAAAAUCUGGAAUUAUACAAAUAUAAUAAAACUAGAAAUAACGAAUUGAUACAAACAUAAACAUAUGAACUUUAAACAAUUAUACAAAAUAUAUUAUACAAAUUACAUUAUAUAAAUUAUAUUAUACAAAAUUCGAAAACUACACGUUUAUACAAACUUUAAAAGUUAUACACAAAAAGAUUGAAUGUAUAUGAUGACAAAACUGAAAAACCAAAGGAAAUUAUCGUCAUAUACAAAUACAAAGCAAACAAAGAAUUAUUAGUUGUGAAUUAUACAUAUACAAACGUGGCUAAUUAUAUAAACUCAGAGUCAGCCGACAUAAUUAAUGGUUAAUGUUAGUCGCGAGUGGUAAUUAUAACAAACUAUAGUUAUGAUGAGUAAUUAAGUAGUAUAAAUUUGCUUAAUCGUGUAAUUUUCCCUAGUAGGAAGUCCAUUUUGUAAGGUCUACUUUUAAGAAAGGUCCAAGGUUGAAUCUUUAUAAAUGUGCUUUUAGUUUUAUGUCUUAUUUGAAAAAAUUAGAAAUAAAAGAGUGUCACGUAAAUUGAACAAAGAAGUAUAUGAUAUGUGGCAUCAGCAUGAUCUCAAGGCAAACACUUAACCAUUUGAAAGAAUCCAUUUAUGCAUACUUCUCAGUUAAAGACACAAAUCAUCUUAAUACGUACUAACAAUUAAUAUAUAUAUAUAUAUAUAUAUAUAUAUAGAGAGAGAGAGAGAGAGAGGAUGAAAGCUGCAGUAACAUGCAAGUGAAUAUAUAUGGCUUUAACAAAUUAAGAGAAUAACAAAAAUUUUGAGCUGGGGAUACCCUGCUUUCCUUGUUCCCUAUGAAAGGAAUCGAAAUCUAAAGAGAGAAAAAAAAAACAAAGUAAAGUAGAAUAAAGAGGUCUUUCAAGACAAAGGAAGACUUUUUCUCCAUAGGCUCCAGCUAAUCUUACUCAUAUAUCAUAUACAACAUUAAGUAUUAGGUUUCUUGCAUCCAUUCCUUUAUUCAGAUUCUCACGUUGGACUCCAUUUUUUUUGCUGCUUUCAUGCAUUCUCUAUGUUUGUAUAUAAGGGUAUCCCCUGUUUUUCCAUGAAGAUUAUCAGCCAUCUCUAAUCUGAAAUUAAUUAAUCAACGAGAUUAUCAAAGAUGGCUAAAAACAUUGGCAUUCUUGUUUGUCUUCUUCUUGUGAUUUUGGAUGUUGCUGCUGGUAUACUAGGUAUUCAAGCUGAGGUAGAACAAAAUAAGGUAAAUGAUAGUUCUUUCGGAAAUUUGAUUAGUAUAAAAUGUUUAAAUGUGUGGUCGUUUCAUCUAAAAAAAUGUUACAUUCUUAACACGCUCCUUCAGGUGCCUACCUGAUUUGUUAUUCAUGGGCAAGUAUGUGGAAUCUUUUUUUGAUAGCGGGUAGUAGUGAGACUUGAACCCAGAACCUUUUUCUGCUCUUAUGCUAUGUUAAAUGUGUGGUUAUCUCGUCUAAAAUACUUAAGUAUAGCGAGGGUACACUUUUAUCUACUUAAUUAUAUUUUGUGGCAAUUAACACAAUUAGGCUUGAUUUAUUGGAAUAGGUUCAAGACUUAAAGGUGUGGAUCUUUGAAUGUAGAGAUCCAAGCUAUGAAGCUUUUAAGCUAGGAUUGGCUGCAACAGUACUUUUGGUUCUGGCACAAGUUAUUUCUAAUCUGCUUGCUGGUUGUAUUUGCGUCCAGUCCAAGGAAGAGCUGGAUAAGGCCUCUUCUAACAAGCAACUUGCUUUUGCUUCAUUUGUAUUCCAAUGGUAAUUUCCAAACUCCCCCCUCAUCUCCCAUUCCGACUUAUUUAGAUUUGCGCUGGGUAGAACCACGAAGGGGUAAAACACUCUUUGUCAAAAGGUUCUCCAUUUGCAGAAAGAGCUCGAACCUAAGACCUCUGAUUAAUGGUUCAAAGAUUCUAACCAUCACAUUAUAUCCCCUAGUGAUAGCAUGGACAGAUUUAUUUAUGAGGACAAUGAAUGUUGUGGUACUCAUUAAAUCGUGCACUUUGUUUAUGUAUUACUUAUCUUAUUCAUGGUUGUAGAUUUAAAAAGAAAUUGUUCUGAUACUAGGAUCAUUAUGGCCAUUGCAUUCUCAUUGCUGGUAGCUGGAACAUUGUCAAACGGGAAGGCAAGAAGAUCUUGUGGCAUAUCACACCAUCGUUUCUUGUCAAUAGGAGGGAUAUUGUGCUUUAUCCAUGGACUUUUCUCAGUUUCCUACUACAUCUCUGCUACAGCCACCAUCCAGGAAGAUAAGAAGCUGAAUCAACAAGGAGGUCAUGCAUGAAUACAAAAAAAAAAAUUACUCUCUUCCAAUAUAUGCAGCCUUUGCUAACAGAAUUAGAUCAACUCAGUGCUCUAUACGAGAGAAAUGAAAGAAAAAUAUGUAUGGAGAACUCAUCAUAACCGAGUCCCAUAUCUCCCUUUUAAAAAUUCCUAAUAUUUCAUGUAACAUUUCUUGAAUUUUAUGUUAUUUGUAACUUUUUCUCGACUCUAAUGUAAUUUUAUGUUCAUAAUAUGUCAUAGGCAAACAGUAAUGUGAGUUGCGUUGUUUUCCCAAAAGAAGAAAGAAUGUAUUAAAGCAUUGCUGGUCUGACUCCUACUUUUACUAGUUCAGUAUUCAAUGUAUUUUUUGCAACUACUUUGGGGUCUAAUUGCAAUAUGAUUUCACCGCUUCUUUUCCUAUUAGCAUCCUUGCUGUUACUCAUCUAUCCCUCUGCAUACUAAUACUCUGCUUAACAUUCAAGUACUUAAAUUUGAGUCUGCAGUAAGGCUAUGUACAUUUGUGAAGUUCGGUUUAAACCAAUCCAUUUGUUCAUGUUUCUCUGGUGUUGCAAGCCGGAAGGACUUAAGACAGAAGACGUAGUGAAACUUCAUAACUGAGGUAGAUUUUUUAUGGGAAGCAAAUUAAAGAUUAGUGUAACAUUGAGUAAUGUGGAAUGGUGCAACCAUGUUUAUUGUUUCCAGGCCUCAAUCAAGUGAAAUUCCCAAUCAGAUGCAGCGCUUAGUUGUUUCAGAUUUUAAACAUUCUUCCAAAAUCAUUCUUCACAAUUGAUUCAAGAAGUAUUCGUUAACUUACAGGAAGUAAUAACAUAGUACAGAAAAGAUUUCUAGCCAAGGUUGGCCAAAACAUCAUUUAAGGUAGUUACAGUUUCAGCAUAGUACUUCUGUGCUUCAUCGCUGUUCUUGGUCUUUGCUGCAUGGUCCAGCUGAGGAAAGAAAAUUAAAAAUGGUUUGUCAGAAGAAAGCGAAAUCAUAAGCAACCCAUCCAAUUACUAUGUCAUUCAUGUUAUUAACCAAGAAUUUAGGCAUUUGACUUACAUCACUAAUGGUCUUAAAGAGCUUUCCAGACAGGUCCUGGAGUUUUCCCUUCUGUUCUUUUGGCUUAGCAGAGAUGACAGUCUUAAGGUCAUAGCGAAGAUAUUCUGCUCUGAGACGAAGGUCAUUCUGGACGUAAGGCCAGGCCUUCUUGUCGAUGAAAUUCUUGACGCUAACAAUCUCCUUAGCUGAAUCCUUAACUCUCUGGACUGCCUCAGCUGGAGUCAAUGGUUGAAGGUAAAACCUAUUCUUCAAUGGCAAACUGAAGUCCCUUGCCUCAUCUGAGUUCAAAGUUCCAGCUGCCCAAACCAAAUCUCAGUAUCAGUACGGAAAUUCCAUGCAUUAGCUUUUCUAGUACUUGCAACCAAUAUUCUUUCUAGUUCAAAUAGUUGGAAUUUUCUGUACAUCUAAUUUUACCAAAAUGAGAAACCAUGAUAGUUCCAACUGCAUAUAUAACUACUCCUGAAUCUUGCAUUCCUGCAAGAGGCUAUUACCACAACAGCUCGAACAACUUUACCUGGCAAGGCUCCCCUCACACAAUAUUACUAUUAAAAUUAGAAGGGACAAUUUACAGAUCCUUAUAAGGAUUGAAAUCAUCUUGUCAAAAUGCAAUCUUUAACUACUUUCUAUGAGCCCCUCUUCUUUUUUUUCUUUUCUCAAGCUUAAUUCUCCUUUUUUAAUUCAGUUAAGGACCUUUCUGUUUGACAUGACCUGAUAACAAUCUAAAUUAAUCUUUUCCUUGAUCCAUCUUUCAAUUGGAAAUGCUGAUAUAAAUAUCAAGUUGCUUGAUCUAAAGGAUCAAAUUACUAAAAAUUGAAAUGCAGCAUUUGAGGGUCACUCCUAGGUUCUCUGUCUUUUAUAUCUGAAUCUUACUAUAUAUCAAUUGUCCGUAAGUAUAUCUGUUAUGAUAUUACUAUUGUAUCGUUCGAGUAAUCAGUGAUGGAUCUAGACUAGACGCGUGUAAUUCAGACUUUAUAAAUCUGUAUGUGUUUGAAAUUGAAAAAAUUGGAACAUCUAUAAAAGAAGAAGUCGAUUCAUCACUAAGAAAGAAAGCAAAACAGACGACUUACGCAAUCCACCAGAGGGAGGAGGUGGGGGGCCAACCUUAAUUGACCUGGCUUCAGCAAAAGCUGAUUUAGCAAAGGAACCAGCUAGGCCAGCAGCAACAAGACCAAUCAUGGCUCUGCGGCUAGUUUCGAUGUCAACAGACCCCUGUUGGGCUCUGACAGUGAGUCCUGGUCUAGACAAGGCAAUUCUGGUGGUGCUGACAGUGCUCAAGCGGGCUGAGCCACUAAGCUGGAGGCUACCAUCCAAGACAGUUUGUGAAGAACCAAUUAGGCCACCCAUAGAAGCCAUAGCAUGAGCCAUUUCUCAGGACCUUUUUG